rnacentral:rRNA from 1 species
AUUGAACGCUGGCGGCAUGCCUUACACAUGCAAGUCGAACGGUAACAGGUCUUCGGAUGCUGACGAGUGGCGAACGGGUGAGUAAUACAUCGGAACGUGCCCGAUCGUGGGGGAUAACGAAGCGAAAGCUUUGCUAAUACCGCAUAAGAUCUACGGAUGAAAGCAGGGGACCGCAAGGCCUUGCGCGAACGGAGCGGCCGAUGGCAGAUUAGGUAGUUGGUGGGAUAAAAGCUUACCAAGCCGACGAUCUGUAGCUGGUCUGAGAGGACGACCAGCCACACUGGGACUGAGACACGGCCCAGACUCCUACGGGAGGCGGCAGUGGGGAAUUUUGGACAAUGGGCGAAAGCCUGAUCCAGCCAUGCCGCGUGCAGGAUGAAGGCCUUCGGGCUGUAAACUGCUUUUGUACGGAACGAAAAGACUCUGGUUAAUACCUGGGGUCCAUGACGGUACCGUAAGAAUAAGCACCGGCUAACUACGUG